GCAACCCAAUAAAUGGAGAACUGGGCUGCCAAGUUUAGAAUGAGACCAAGAGCAAGAUUGACUUGAUGCUGUGUUGGUAAAAUUAGGCACCAUGGGUCCCCAAGUGACCCUCACCUUUCUAAGAUUAAGAGCAGGUCUGCCCUCUAGAACCUGAAGUGGAACUGCACUUAGAAAUGUGCACCAAGUGUGCUGGACCUCCUGGGACUGGUGGAUUUAAGGACAGAAUCAACAAGGGCAUUGAAGAGACUUGCUUCCACCAGAAUGAGUGUGAACAUGUGACCCAGACUGGCCAAUCAGAUUACCUCAUCCCUCUAAGGUUGUUCAAGCAUGGGCACAAGAUUCAGUUUGCAGGAACGCUCUGAGCGUUGGCUUCUUCGGCAUGAACGCCAUUUCCACGUGUGCUGAACUGCUCUUGUCGAAGUCACACAGAAUAAUAUACGGGAUGGUGCCAUUUUCGAACUAACAGUCUACAAAAAUUUGUCUACGUGAUCUGCCAUCUCUGGCAGUUUUAGAAAGAAAAACACUAACACCUGGGAAGAGUAUGGACAGCAUACUUUGGCUUCUUCAAAAGCAGCCCUCAGCAAAGGGAUGGAGACCCUGUUCCCUGUUUGGUAUAGAUGGUGAGGUUGUGAAUUAGGAGUGAAACACAAAAAAAGUGGAUUUCUUCCUAUUUUCUGAUCACACUGAACCUUGAGUCACUGAAAUUUUCUAGUCCAGUGAUUUCUCCCAGAUACUGGCAAUGGGUUAACUGUGUGUACGUGUAUUCACUUGCCUUCCAUUGGAGAACCAACCAAUGCUAUGUAGCUCUAUAUUUUGACAAGACCCCCUUCAGAGUGUACCCCAACCAGGACCUCAUUCGGAAUUCCUCUGUGAGUGAGUGUGCAUCAUUAAGAUGAACCUGCUGAACCGCCAGAAUCCUGAUGGUGAUGAGAAGGUGCUGCCUUCUAAGUGUCUUUGAGGACUAUACAAGAAGAUACUUUGUCACUGAUGGAAGCACCUGCCUCAGGCUCACUGGAACAAAAUCUGUGGCUUCUCUUGUUUGAUCUAAUUCCCGCUGAUCUUUCUGGUGUCUUCUGGUGCUGUUUGUACACCUUUGGCUCCUUAGGAUUCAGAAUCACCCUCAACACUGGAAAGCCUACAGCUAGCGGCCACACCUCAGCAAAAGUGAAGACUACUAGUUUCUGUUGCUUGUUCAUGAGAUCUUUUUCACCUCUUUUGUGAGCAUCAAAGAGAUUGAAAUGAUUUGGACUACCUUCAUUCUCAAAAGCAAUGCACGACUGUAGCUGUGAUAGAGACUGGAGGACCACAAAGAUAUUCACUACCUGCUCUUUUAUAGAAAGUUGGCAACUCUUACUUUAGAGAAUUCACUUGGAUGGUUAACUGACUUGGUACAUGAUGAAAACCCUUUGGAGAAGCCACUCUGCCUCUGCUCUUGCUCUUGGGGUGUUCCUGAGUGAUCUUAAGCAAACGUGCUUCUUAUCAAGGAAAACUGAAGAAUGGUCAUUCCAGUUUUGAAAAGCAAAGCAAAGCUACUGAUGCCACAGGACAUUCAUAAUAAUGACAGUGACAAGACCUAAAGCCUGAGUAACCCACAAAUCUCAAGUCAGCCUUCUCAUCAUCAAAAAUCUGUAAAAUACUUCCAAUUUGAAAAUUCUGGGAAUCCAGGUUUAGCUUUUGAAACUUUGGAAAAUCCUAUAACGUCUCUGUACAAUUAACCACAAAACAGGUCUAUUUACCUCAAUAGUUUGUUGCAAGAAUCAAAUGAAUAAAUGUGAGAGUGGUUUGAAAGGUGUGUAGAACUGAAUAGUCACAAAACAUUAUCAUCAUAGGGGUAUAGUGCUAAUAUUUGUAGACAAAGUUAUAGGGAUUAAUGUCUUCGGGAAAUUAUCAGAAUCUAGGACCCGAUCAAAU
rnacentral:lncRNA from 1 species